rnacentral:rRNA from 1 species
UACCUCUGGUGUACCAGUUGUCGUGCCAACGGCAUAGCUGGGUAGCUAUGUGUGGACGGGAUAAGUGCUGAAAGCAUCUAAGCAUGAAGCCCCCCUCAAGAUGAGAUUUCCCAACUUCGGUUAUAAGAUCCCUCAAAGAUGAUGAGGUUAAUAGGUUCGAUGUGGAAGCAUGGUGACAUGUGGAGCUGACGAAUACUAAUCGAUCGAAGACUUAAUCAAAA